AAAAACAUAACCUUUAGCCAAACAAAUAUUAAAGGCAACGCCUGCCCAGUGAACAAUUAAACGGCCGCGGUACCCUAACCGUGCAAAGGUAGCAUAAUCAUUUGUCUACUAAUUAUAGACCUGUAUGAAAGGCAAAAUGAGGGUCCAACUGUCUCUUAUAAUAAAUCAAUUAAACUGAUCUCCUAGUAAAAAAGCUAGAAUAAUACCAUAAGACCAGAAGACCCUGUGAAGCUUAAAUUAAACUACUAAACCACAUAGUAAUUACUUUCGGUUGGGGCGACCUUGGAAAAAAACAAAACUUCCAAGACCCAGUAAAACUGACAAUUGAACCAAGUUACUCCAGGGAUAACAGCGCAAUCUUCUUCAAGAGCCCAUAUCAAAAAGAAGGUUUACGACCUCGAUGUUGGAUCAGGACAUCCUAAUGGUGCAGCCGCUAUUAAGGGUUCGUUUGUUCAACGAUUAACAGUCCUACGUGAUCUG
rnacentral:rRNA from 1 species